GCCGGAGUAGCUCAGUUGGUUAGAGCGCUUCUUUUGUAAAGGAGGGGUCGUCGGUUCGAGCCCGACCUCCGGCUCCA
rnacentral:tRNA from 1 species